rnacentral:rRNA from 1 species
CUACGUAGGUGACAAGCGUUAUCCGGAUUUACUGGGCGUAAAGGGCGUGUAGGCGGUCUUGCAAGUCAGAAGUGAAAUUCCUGAGCUCAACUCGGGCGCUGCUUCUGAAACUGCAGGACUUGAGUGCUGGAGGGGAUAGCGGAAUUCCUAGUGGAGCGGUAAAAUGCGCAGAUAUUAGGAAGAACACCGGUGGCGAAGGCGGCUAUCUGGACAGUAACUGACGCUGAGGCGCGAAAGCGUUGGGAGCAAACAGGAUUAGAUACCCUGGUAGUCCACGCCGUAAACGAUUAAUACUAGGUGUAGGGGGUAUCGACUCCCUCUGUGCCGCAGUUAACACAAUAAGUAUUCCGCCUGGGGAGUACGGCCGCAAGGUUGAAACUCAAAUGAAUUGACGGGG